rnacentral:snRNA from 1 species
UUGAUUUAGCAGCACAUAUGCUAGAAUUGGAACCGUAGCAAGAAUAUUAGCAUGGCCCAUGCACAAGGAUGGUGACACCCAAGUCCAUGAAGUGUUCCCAGAAUGC